CCCCGCACAAGCAGCGGAGCGUGUGGUUUAAUUCGAUGUUACACGAAGAACCUUACCUGGGUUUGACAUGCUAGUGGUAAUGAAGCGAAAGCUAAGUGACCCGCAAGGGAGCUAGCACAGGUGCUGCAUGGCUGUCGUCAGCUCGUGUCGUGGGAUGUUCGGUUAAGUCCGCUAACGAGCGCAACCCUCGCUGUGUGUUACAAGUGUCACACAGGACCGCCGGUCUUAAGCCGGAGGAAGGUGGGGAUGACGUCAAGUCAGCAUGGCCUUUAUGUCCAGGGCUACACACACGCUACAAUGGUCAGCACAAUAGGUAGCCAAGCCGCGAGGUGGAGCCAAUCCUCAAAGCUGGCCUCAGUUCAGAUCGCAGGCUGCAACCCGCCUGCGUGAAGCCGGAGUUGCUAGUAACCGCAGGUCAGCAAUACUGCGGUGAAUACGUUCCCGGGUCUU
rnacentral:rRNA from 1 species